AGGAGUAUUAGAUCCCAAGAGACAUCCUUUGAAGAAGGUCCAAAUCAGUCUACUUUUGUACCAUUUUGGCACCUAAAAUGUGUCCAAACUUGCAACCUAAUAAGUCCUACUGGAAGUCACCUUUUUAUAACAUAAAAAGGACUUGCUUGAUGUAAAAGAAGGGUACAAUAAUCGUGCUAGAAGUUGAGUGCAAGUUGGUAUCAAGUUGUUUGUAAAUUUCCUUCAACAUUUUCAAGAUUUCCAAGUCCAAGAUUGAUUUUUGAC
rnacentral:lncRNA from 1 species